UACUAUCUUCGAAUUCAGGAUGACACGCUUCAUGGGACGGUGUCUUCUGUGGAUGUAGCCACAAAGAAGAACUUGGCCCGUCUUGUCACAGUUGGAGAAGGCCUAUUGAAAGAACGAGUUUCCAGGGUUAAUUUGGACAGUGGCAGGUUUGAGGCUUCUAAUAAUGAGACGAAUGAAGAGGCUCUUAGAAGGGUUGCAAAACUACUCUCUGAGGAGAAGCGUCUUCGCCAAGAAACGUUGAAUAAUGGGCUUGCUUAAAGCUCCCGCUGACAAGGAUUAAAAUAU